rnacentral:rRNA from 1 species
GACGAACGCUGGCGGCGUGCCUAAUACAUGCAAGUUGAGCGCUGAAGGUUGGUACUUGUACCGACUGGAUGAGCAGCGAACGGGUGAGUAACGCGUGGGGAAUCUGCCUUUGAGCGGGGGACAACAUUUGGAAACGAAUGCUAAUACCGCAUAAAAACUUUAAACACAAGUUUUAAGUUUGAAAGAUGCAAUUGCAUCACUCAAAGAUGAUCCCGCGUUGUAUUAGCUAGUUGGUGAGGUAAAGGCUCACCAAGGCGAUGAUACAUAGCCGACCUGAGAGGGUGAUCGGCCACAUUGGGACCGAGACACGGCCCAAACUCCUACGGGAGGCAGCAGUAGGGAAUCUUCGGCAAUGGACGAAAGUCUGACCGAGCAACGCCGCGUGAGUGAAGAAGGUUUUCGGAUCGUAAAACUCUGUUGGUAGAGAAGAACGUUGGUGAGAGUGGAAAGCUCAUCAAGUGACGGUAACUACCCAGAAAGGGACGGCUAACUACGUG